rnacentral:rRNA from 1 species
UACGGGGGGGGCAAGCGUUGUUCGGAAUUACUGGGCGUAAAGGGCUCGUAGGUGGCCAACUAAGUCAGACGUGAAAUCCCUCGGCUUAACCGGGGAACUGCGUCUGAUACUGGAUGGCUUGAGUUUGGGAGAGGGACGCGGAAUUCCAGGUGUAGCGGUGAAAUGCGUAGAUAUCUGGAGGAACACCGGUGGCGAAGGCGGCGUCCUGGACCAGCACUGACACUGAGGAGCGAAAGCCAGGGGAGCAAACGGG